rnacentral:lncRNA from 1 species
AUGCUGUGUGGCAACUCAUCUGGCCCUGUCUCCAGUGUACCCUGCUAUAGGAUGUCAGGCCCAGAAUCCCAGGAAGCAGGGGAGGAGAGGCAGGUACCUCUUCAUUUCAGGCCCAGGAUACAGCCCAGCUCUGCCGUGGCUGCGGACAGUGACAAUCUAUCUCUGCCUCCCAGGCCAGGAACAUAUUUUCACCGAGACCUACGAAGAGCAGUCACCGACCCUGUGCCCAGACACCUUGUGUAGAUCUGUGCUUAGCAAACUCAGAAGGCCCUGUCACCACCAGGAAGGAAGAGACCCCACGACUGAGGGCAGUGGGCUAUGAGAUUUGUGACCCUUUCCUCUGCCUGCCUCUGCCCCUGCCCAUUGGGACCCUGCUGGACCAGGCAUCCAUCCUAUGGAAAUCUCUAUGAAGCGUCGACCUCCCUGCCCCC